rnacentral:rRNA from 1 species
AGCGUCUGAGUUCACGCUGGCGAGAAAAGCUGCUAAGGAGAGUGUGAGUGCCCGUACCGGAAACCGACGCAGGUGGGCGAGGAGAGAAUCCUGAGACGGACGGGAGAACUCUUGUUAAGGAACUCGGCAAAAUGACCCCGUAACUUCGGGAAAGGGGUGCCUCGAAAGAGGCCGCAGAGAAUAGUCACAAGCGACUGUUUAGCAAAAACACAGGUAUCUGCGAAAGCGAGAGCUGACGUAUAGGUGCUGACGCCUGCCCGGUGCUGGAAGGUUAAGGGGAAGUGUUAGGGGAAACCCGAAGCAGAGAACCGAAGCCCCAGUAAACGGCGGCCGUAACGAUAACGGUCCUAAGGUAGCGAAAUUCCUUGUCGGGUAAGUUCCGACCCGCACGAAUGGCGUAACGACUUGUGAGCUGUCUCAACAGGAGGCCCGGUGAAAUUGAAGUAUGUGUGAAGAUGCACAUUACCCGCGACUGGACGGAAAGACCCCGUAGAGCUUUACUGUAACCUGACAUUGGAUCUUGAUAACGGAUGCACAGGAUAGGUGGGACGCUGGGAGGUAUGGACUUUGGUCUGUACGGAGCGGACGUUGGGAUACCACUCUUCUGUUAUUGAGAUUCUAACCUCAAGCCGUAAGCCGGAUGAGAGACAGUGUCAGGCGGACAGUUUGACUGGGGCGGUCGCCUCCGAAAGAGUAACGGAGGCGCCCAAAGGUACCCUCAGAAUGGAUGGAAACCAUUCGAAGAGAGCAAAGUCAGAAGGGUGCUUGACUGCGAGACCAACAAGUCGAGCAGGUACGAAAGUAGGGCUUAGUGAUCCGGCGGUAAGAGAGUGGAAUUGCCGUCGCUCAACGGAUAAAAGCUACCUCGGGGAUAACAGGCUGAUCUCCCCCAAGAGUUCACAUCGACGGGGAGGUUUGGCACCUCGAUGUCGGCUCGUCGCAUCCUGGGGCUGAAGCAGGUCCCAAGGGUUUGGCUGUUCGCCAAUUAAAGCGGCACGCGAGCUGGGUUCAGAACGUCGUGAGACAGUUCGGCCCCUAUCCAUCGUGGGCGAAGGACACAUGAGAGGAGCUGCUCCUAGUACGAGAGGACCGGAGUGGACGCAUCACUGGUGCAACUGUUGUCGUGCCAACGGCACAGCAGGGAAGCGAAAUGCGGAUGGGAUAAACGCUGAAGGCAUCUAAGCGUGAAGCCCACCUCAAGAAUAAGUGUCCCAUUCGAAAGAAGUAAGACCCCUGGAGGACUACCAGGUGAUAGGUCAUCGGUGAAAGAGCGGUAACGUUUGGAGCUUGAUGAUACUAAUCGGUCGAGGACUUGAUU